AUCUUCUAAUAGCUUAGAAAGGGAAGAUAAAGCUCUGAUACAUUAGGUAACCAUUAAACUUGAAAACAAUCAAAAGUCUUCAAUCCUGGUAAAAAAAGCCACCAGUUGUGCUUUGAUUAAAUAUUGGAAUGACAUCCAGGAGUGUCCUUGGAGAUUUGCCAACCCUUCUCUGGUUUCUUUUGGUAAACAAUCCAGUUGUAUGCCAGCAAGUGAUUUUGACCUGUACCUGUCAAGGACAAAGGUGCAGCACCAGGAAACUCCAUAAAAUACCUUCCUGACCAACACUUUGCAUAUUGUACUCUUGUCAGCAAUCAGUAUAGAAACCAGGAUCAGAGAAAAGAAACUCUUCUAAAACACAGCUAUACUUCUGGACUUCUGCAUGUGCUGUUGAUGAAGAAUUACAUUUUACAGCCUGGACAGUAUAAUAGCUUUUUACUGAUAGAAGUGUUCACCACCAUUCAUUGCUGUGUAAACAAAGGUGACACAAAGGUGAGACGCAGGCAUUCCUGUUGCAACUUGGUAAAGAUGACCUCCAAAGGGACAGUAUUCCUGAGCCUGCAGGAUCAGACAUUGGGAUUCACAGACAUACAGAUGCUGGACAGGUCUGUGAUUCAGAGAUAACUGGACAGAAAUUGACUGACUCUAAUCUCAUGAGGUUUAACAAAAGCAAAUGCAAGAUAUAUCUGUGAUAGAUUUGGGAGGUUAACCCUAACCAGCAGCCAAGUAUCUGAGCAGAUGUUUGUUCAUCCCCACCUCUCUCCCUCCCUCACUCCCCCCCUCCAAUCGUGGUUUUUCUGGUUUGCUUUUAUACUUUCCUUUUAAAAGAGUAAUUUUUUUUUUCUUUUUGGUCAAAAAGCAUCAUAUUAAUCUAUUCAGUAUAUUGAAAUAGAGUUAUUUCCAUCUUGUCAGCUUUUGUGUUUGUCUGUGUAUGUGUCUUUGUGUGUAAAGUAAUGGCCAUGGUGAAAAGAAAAACAGAGUCCUGAAAUGAGAAGGUAAAAUGUAUUUGCCUCUUUUUAAAUGUUUUUUAAACCUAUUGUGUUCCUCCUGCAGUUUUUCUGCUACAGAUGGCAAAUUGUGGCAAAUGUAAAACUGACAUUUUUCUACAACAAUAUUUGUAUGUAGGCCUAUUCCAACUUCUGCAUAUUCAAAUCACAUCAAAGCAACAGAAGAAAAGCAAGCACAAGCUUAUACUUACAGAGAAUCUGUACUAACCUGUGUUCCCUACAUGCCCCACAAUUGAUACGGAAACAUGCUGUUGGAGGGAAGGUUUCCAUCCCCCAGAAACUGAAACUUUGAUGGCAAACAACAUAUGAAAGUAGGUAACAUUAUCCAGGAGACAGCAUGAUUGCAAGGAAAUCCUAAGUAUGCUUGCUAGAUCUGGCCAGAUUCAGCAUCAAAGCUGCAUCAGUAUCAAAAGCAGAAGGACCAUGCACAAAUUCCUCCCAUUUCCCUGGCAAAGCAAAUAACUAAGACAGCCACACAGGUUAGUUAUAUAUUUCUGUUUUAAAAGAACUUGCUCACACACUUAUUUCUUGUAUGCUAGAUGUUUGCUACUGACUCACAGAUAAAUUUUCAUAUACUUUUUUUACUGUGAAAAUAAGUGGAAUUUAAAGUUGUUAAUACCUCCAGUAAGUGAUCAUGGUCUGACCCAAUGGAACGUGUCCUCCAACCUGUCUCAGCAGCAUGGAAAGUCUGUAGUGACACUGUCACAGGCACCCAUCUUCCAUGUGCUACAGAUACUUGCAUGCCCAUGGUCCUCCUAGAUUCUACUGCUGGGGCUAUUCAAAGCCAGGUGUCAGACACCAGAAUGAUAGUCCAUGGUGACUCAACGGUAUACUUCUCCAGCACUUUUUGCCUUUGGUCUCCUACUCAGAUGCUGGCUAUCCUGCUGCUGGUUUGCAGCAUGGCUCACCAGAGUCAGUUGCUUUGUUUUGUACUCAGAUUAUGGCCAAAGUGAAACUGCAGUCUUCUCAUCUCUCAAGCACUUUAUGCUACUAAGACUUGCUGAUCUGGAAUUUUGCAUUUUACUGUCGCCAUUCUCUCCUCAGACUUCCUGACUUUUUGACAAGCUUAAGGAAAGAGACUACACACUGCACCCCCAAGCCAUCAUUCUUUUAAUCCUCUGUGGACUGAGUCCUCUAGGCACCAAAGCCUCUGAACACUCCUGAAGGAAGGCCUUAUUUUCAAUCCAUUUUAAGAAUUCAUUAAUGUUAUUUCCAGUGAUUCUUCUUCCGCAGCGGUACAGUACACUCUGUUUUAAC
ensembl:lncRNA